rnacentral:rRNA from 1 species
UUGUUACUACAUAAAAUAAUUUAGUUUUAUAUAUUAAUAUAAUUAAUUUAAUAAUUAAAAAAGUAUUUUGAUACCUUUAGCAUCAUGUAUAAAUAAAAUUUUAAUAUAAUAUUAUUCUCGAAUAAAUAAAAAUUAUCAUUUUAAUAUUAUAAAAGUAACAUAUUUUUAUAUAAUAAAAUGAUUAAGAUGAUAUGUCAUUAUUUGUUUAGUUCUUGUUAGGUUUAAUAAAUUUAAAAUUUAAUAUUUGAAAAAUGUAUUUACAAAAAGAUAAGUUUUUGUAAAUAAAAUUAAACUAAAUACUACUAUUUAUAAAAUAAAAAUAAUAAUGUUAAUUAGAAAAUUUAAAAAUUCUUAAUAAAAUUAAUUUAAAGUUUAUACUAAUACCUAAAAGAUUUCAAUUAUAAAUAUCUAUAAAAUAUAUUUAUAUAAGUAGUUAAUUAGUAAAUUUUUAUCAAUUAUUUAAUGUUAAUAUUAAAAAUAAAAUUUGUUAAAAAUUACUCGUCAUACUAAAUUUAGCCUGUUUAACAAAAACAUCUUAGAUUAUUUCUAUAUUACCUGCUCAAUGAUAAAAUUUAAUAGCCGCAUUUGUGCUAAGGUAGCAUAGUAAUUAGUUUUUUAAUUGAAAAAUAGAAUGAAUGGUUUCACUAAAAUUAAAUAUUUAUUAAAUAAAAUGAAAUUUAAAUUUAAGUGAAAAUUCUUAAAUAAAAUUUUUAGACGAGAAGACCCUAUGAAACUGAAGAUAAAAUUUUAUAUUAUAAUUUAUUAAGAAUCUAUUUUUUGGGGAAAAAUUUAAUAAGUUUAUUUUUAUUUUUUAAUAAAAAAGAUCCUUUAGGAAUAUUGAAUUAGUUCCUCUAGGGAUAACAGCAUAAUAUUUAUAAAAGUUCUUAUUAGAAUAAAUGUUUGUGACCUCGAUGUUGAAUUAGAUAUCUAUAUUUGUGCAGAAGCUAAUAAUAGUAUGGUCUGUUCGACCUUUAAUAUCUACAUGAUUUGAGUUAAAAUCGACGUGAGUCAGAUUGGUUUCUAUCUAAAAUUUAUAUCUAAAUAUUUAGUACGAAAGGAAUUAUA